ACGUACACUCCUGCGGGAGGCAGCAGUGGGGAAUAUCGCACAAUGGGCGCAAGCCUGAUGCAGCCAUGCCGCGUGUAUGAAGAAGGCCUUCGGGUUGUAAAGUACUUUCAGCGGGGAGGAAGGCGAUAAGGUUAAUAACCUUGUCGAUUGACGUUACCCGCAGAAGAAGCACCGGCUAACUCCGUGCCAGCAGCCGCGGUAAUACGGAGGGUGCAAGCGUUAAUCGGAAUUACUGGGCGUAAAGCGCACGCAGGCGGUCUGUCAAGUCGGAUGUGAAAUCCCCGGGCUCAACCUGGGAACUGCAUUCGAAACUGGCAGGCUAGAGUCUUGUAGAGGGGGGUAGAAUUCCAGGUGUAGCGGUGAAAUGCGUAGAGAUCUGGAGGAAUACCGGUGGCGAAGGCGGCCCCCUGGACAAAGACUGACGCUCAGGUGCGAAAGCGUGGGGAGCAAACAGGAUUAGAUACCCCUGUAGUCCC
rnacentral:rRNA from 1 species